UACGUAGGUGGCAAGCGUUGUCCGGAUUUAUUGGGCUUAAAGGGUGCGUAGGCGGCCCUGUAAGUCAGUGCUGAAAUAUCCCGGCUUAACCGGGAGGGUGGCAUUGAUACUGCAGGGCUUGAGUGAAGUCGAGGUAGGCGGAAUUGACGGUGUAGCGGUGAAAUGCUUAGAUAUCGUCAAGAACACCGAUAGUGAAGACAGCUUACUAGGCUUAUACUGACGCUGAGGCACGAAAGUGUGGGGAUCAAACAGG
rnacentral:rRNA from 1 species